UACGUAGGGUGCGAGCGUUGUCCGGAAUUAUUGGGCGUAAAGAGCUCGUAGGCGGCUUGUCGCGUCGACCGUGAAAACUUGGGGCUCAACCCCAAGCCUGCGGUCGAUACGGGCAGGCUAGAGUUCGGUAGGGGAGACUGGAAUUCCUGGUGUAGCGGUGAAAUGCGCAGAUAUCAGGAGGAACACCGGUGGCGAAGGCGGGUCUCUGGGCCGAUACUGACGCUGAGGAGCGAAAGCGUGGGGAGCGAACAGG
rnacentral:rRNA from 1 species